rnacentral:rRNA from 1 species
UACGUAGGGUGCAAGCGUUAAUCGGAAUUACUGGGCGUAAAGCGUGCGCAGGCGGUUUUGUAAGUCAGAUGUGAAAUCCCCGGGCUCAACCUGGGAACUGCAUCUGUGACUGCAUCGCUGGAGUGCGGCAGAGGGGGAUGGAAUUCCGCGUGUAGCAGUGAAAUGCGUAGAUAUGCGGAGGAACACCCGUGGCGAAGGCGGCCAACUGGGAUACACCUGACGCUGAGGCACGAAGGCGUGGGGAGCGAACGGG